rnacentral:rRNA from 1 species
GAUGAACGCUGGCGGCGUGCCUAAUACAUGCAAGUCGAGCGAACAGGUGAGGAGCUUUUUCGUCGGACGUUAUCGGCGGCCGGCUGAUUAACACGUGGAUAGUAACCUUCAAACUUCGGCAUAAUAUCGGCAAGCCAGAGUGACUACUGCGAAAUAUUUUGAGCCUGUCGCUUGAUUGGUAAAGGAAGGUUUUUCUUUCCGUUGUGGAUGGGCCCGCGGCGAAUUAGCUAGUUGGUAAGGUAAUGGCCUACCAAGGCAGCGAUGGGUAGCCGACCUGAGAGGGGGGUGGACCACCCUGGUACUGCGGCACGGCCCAGACUCCUACGGGAGGAAGCAGUAGGGAAUAUUCUGCAACAGGGGAAGGACUGACGGAGCAACGACGCGUGAGUGAUGAAGGUCUUCGGCUCGUAAAACUCUGUUAUCAGGAAAGAACAAAUGUGUAAGUGACUAUGCACGGCUUGACGGUACCUAAACAGAAAGCGACGGCUAACUACGUG